AACGUAGGGGGCGAGCGUUGUUCGGAGUUACUGGGCGUAAAGCGCACGUAGGCGGUGCGGUAAGUCAGGGGUUAAAGGCUGCAGCUCAACUGCAGUAAGGCCUUUGAUACUAUCGCGCUAGAGUACCAGAGAGGAUGGCGGAAUUCCCGGUGUAGCGGUGAAAUGCGUAGAUAUCGGGAGGAAUACCGGUGGCGAAGGCGCCCCUCUGGACGGUAACUGACGCUGAGGCGCGAAAGCGUGGGGAGCAAACAGG
rnacentral:rRNA from 1 species